rnacentral:piRNA from 1 species
UGUCUUCUGAGUGAUGACUUGCAAGGUGUUU